UGCAGGUGGGGGGGGGGGGUUGUCAGAGCUCUUGGAAGACCUGCAUUUAUUUCUAGGUUUUUCUUUUUUUCAGCUGACUUUUCUUCCCUCCCCUCCCCCUAGAAGUCAGGGUUCUAGGAUGAGGCAAAGUAGAUGUGAAUUCUGAGCAGGGAGCUCAUGGACCUGGUUGUGAUGACGUGUUUUGGAAUCCUCAGUGAACAGGAUAAAGAAUAAGUUGGGAGGAAAUUCCGAGUGUUUGGGACAAAUUCCUUGCUUUAAGCUCAUACCUGCCUAGAGAAGGUCUGGAACCUUCCAGGUGUCUGUUGCGGGGGGAGGCUCUGAAGAGCAAAGCUGGAACCGCUUCUGUUGAUCGCUCUUCCUUUCAUCCCAGAUUUGAUUCUCCAUGAUGGACUUGCGGGGUUGCCCUGUCCCAGCCCAAGAGUCCCAGAUUCUGGUAUCACCGGUUGCUGCCCCUUCAAAUCAGCUGCUUACAACUCCAGAUAUCAAUGUUCAGCCUUUCAUGGGGUUGUCUUGCUGUGCGGUUCCCACGAGGACUUCCUGGGCAGAGCUUUGCUUAUCAUGAUAUAUUCUGGUAACUUUCUACAGGGUCCAUAUGGAACCCAAGGGAAACCUGAAAACCAGGCAUUUCCCACACAGCCAUGUCUCCUGCUUCUACUCUCUGGGUCACUGGCCCUUCACCGCCUCUCUGGUGGCUUUCUCAAGGCUUGGAGCCAGUCCCAGUCCGGCCUUUAGACAGAAGAUCGAGCUCUCUGAGCUGUCAUUCUGAAGCCCCCCACA